rnacentral:rRNA from 1 species
UAUCCUAGUGGCGAACGGGUGAGUAACGCGUUGGUGACCUACCCCAAAGUGUGGGAUAACAGUCCGAAAGGAUUGCUAAUACCACAUGUGGUCUCUGGAUUUAGAAACCGGUGACUAAAGGAGCAAUUCGCUUUGGGAGGGACCUGCGUCCCAUCAGCUAGUUGGUGAGGUAACGGCUCACCAAGGCGACGACGGGUAGGGGACCUGAGAGGGUGGCCCCCCACAAUGGAACUGAAACACGGUCCAUACACCUACGGGUGGCAGCAGUAGGGAAUAUUGGUCAAUGGGCGAAAGCCUGAACCAGCAACGCCGCGUGUGCGAUGAAGGCCUUCGGGUCGUAAAGCACUUUUCUGGGAGAUGAGAAAGGACAGUAUCCCAGGAAUAAGUCUCGGCUAACUACGUGCCAGCAGCCGCGGUAAAACGUAGGAGGCGAGCGUUAUCCGGAUUCACUGGGCGUAAAGCGCGUGCAGGUGGCUUGGUAAGUUAGGCGUGAAAUCUCCCGGCUCAACUGGGAGAGGUCGUCUAAUACUACCGGGCUUGAGAGCAGAAGAGGAUGAUGGAAUUCCCGGUGUAGUGGUGAAAUGCGUAGAUAUCGGGAGGAACACCAGUGGCGAAGGCGAUCUUCUGGUCUGUUUCUGACACUCAGACGCGACAGCUAGGGUAGUAAACGGGAUUAGAGACCCCGGUAAUCCUAGCCGUAAACGAUGUAAACUUGGCGUUGGUGGGUUAAACUCCAUCAG